rnacentral:rRNA from 1 species
AUUGAACGCUGGCGGAAUGCUUUACACAUGCAAGUCGAAUGGCAGCACGGGAGCUUGCUCCUGGUGGCGAGUGGCGAACGGGUGAGUAACAUAUCGGAACGUAUCCAAUAAUGGGGGAUAACUAAGCGAAAGCUUGGCUAAUACCGCAUACGCCCUGAGGGGGAAAGCUAGGGAUCUUCGGACCUGGCGUUAAUGGAGCGGCCGAUAUCUGAUUAGCUAGUUGGUGAGGUAAAAGCUCACCAAGGCGACGAUCAGUAGCUGGUCUGAGAGGACGACCAGCCACACUGGAACUGAGACACGGUCCAGACUCCUACGGGAGGCAGCAGUGGGGAAUUUUGGACAAUGGGCGCAAGCCUGAUCCAGCCAUUCCGCGUGAGUGAAGAAGGCCUUCGGGUUGUAAAGCUCUUUCGCAAGGGAAGAAAGAUUACGCUCUAACAUAGCGUGAUUAUGACGGUACCUUGAUAAGAAGCACCGGCUAACUACGUGCCAGCAGCCGCAGUAACAC